rnacentral:rRNA from 1 species
GUGCCAGCAGCCGCGGUAAUACGUAGGGGGCAAGCGUUGUCCGGAUUUAUUGGGCGUAAAGAGCGUGUAGGCGGCCAUGUAGGUCCGUUGUGAAAACUCGAGGCUCAACCUCGAGACGCCGAUGGAAACCAUGUGGCUAGAGUCCGGAAGAGGAGAGUGGAAUUCCUGGUGUAGCGGUGAAAUGCGCAGAUAUCAGGAAGAACACCCGUGGCUAAGGCGGCUCUCUAGUACGGUACUGACGCUGAGACGCGAAAGCGUGGGGAGCGAACAGGAUUAGAUACCCUGGUAGUCC